rnacentral:rRNA from 1 species
GAUGAACGCUGGCGGUGUGCCUAAUACAUGCAAGUCGAACGAGAUCUUCGGAUCGAGUGGCGAACGGGUGAGUAACACGUUGGUACCUACCCCGAAGUGGGGAAUAACUGCCCGAAAGGGUGGCUAAUACCGCAUAAUCCCGCAAGGGUAAAGCAGUAAUGCGCUUCGGGAGGGGCCUGCGUCUGAUUAGCUAGUUGGUAGGGUAAUGGCCUACCAAGGCGACGAUCAGUAGCUGGAUCGAGAGGUUGACCAGCCACACUGGGACUGAGA